AAGGCACAAACAAGCGAAUUAGUAAAAAUGAAGAUGAACAUGAAAACAUGUAUGUUGUAUGCCUUGUUUAUGACAGUGGUAUUAUUUUUUGGUAAGUAUGAAAUAAGAGCAGCAGGAAAUGAGGGAACAAAAUAUACAGAUUUGCGAGGUCUUGACGAUUUAAGUACAUUUAAUGAUUCUCAAAUUAUGGAUGUUUUAGGGUUAAACAUUGAAGGAACAAAAGAAAGGUUAGGUAAAUUAUUUCAUUUAAUAGAUAAAGAUAAAGAUAAUAUAUUAAGUGAUGAAGAAUUAGUUAACUGGGGAAAUUAUGUAAAAAAUGAAGUAUUUUUAAAACAAGUACAGAUAGAAAUGAAACAAAUAGAUUUAGAUAAAGAUGGAUAUAUAUCAUUACAAGAGUUGACUGAUGCAUUUGCACAAAAUUUGGAUUCAAAAGAAGUAGAAAAACAUUCAGAAGGCUUAUUAAAAAGAUUUCAAAUAGUAGAUAAAGAUAAAGAUAAUAAACUAAAUAUUAAUGAAGUAGGCUUAUUAAUAGAUCCUAUGAAAGAUCAGGAAUUAAAAGAUUUAGAAAUAAAUGAAAUAUUACAACAUCAUGAUUUAAAUAAAGAUGGAAAAAUAUCUAUUGAAGAAUUUAAACAAACACGAACAGAUGAUCAGAGUGUUAAAAAAGAUGAUGAUGUUGCAUUAGAUGAUUUUAAUUUUUUUGAUACAAAUAAAGAUGGUUUUAUAGAUAAAGAAGAAAUUAUACAAGUAUAUUUCGACCCUGCACAUGAGUCUGGUUCUAUAAAUAUAAAUGAAUUAAAAGAUAAUAUAUUUGAAGGUAAACCAAUUACAUAUGAGAAGUGGUUAGAAAAAGCAUUAAGAAUAGCAGUAACAUCAAUAACAGAUUAUGGUGAUAUUCUCAGAUACCCUGAAGAUUUUAAACUUGAUAUAGGUAAAAAUGUUGUAUUACCAUCAGCUAAAGCUAAGGUAAAUGAAGACGAUGAAUUAGAACAAGAAGAAGUAGACGCCGUAGAAAAGGAAGAAGAGUCUUCUCAUGAUGCAGAUGGAAAAACUGAAGCUUCUGAAGAGUUAUAAACGUGGUUCAUUUUUUUUUUCUUUAAAGUAAACAAAGGUACGUAUCAAUACAUUCAUAUAUAUAUAUAUAUAUAUGUGUGGUACAUCUAUUGUUAGCGUUACUUAUAAGAAUAUAUCGGAUGAAACUUGCACAUGUGUAUCAUUGCUAAUUACAAUAGAUAAAUAAAUACAGCAUAAUUAUUGCA
rnacentral:lncRNA from 1 species